ACGGCGACUAACGAACGGGUAGGGAGCCGUGCGGUUUAAUUUGGUAUUCAACGCCGGAAACGUCUCACCGGGGGACGACAAGCAAUAUGAAGGUCAGGCUGAAGACCUUACCCGACUUAGCUGAGAGGUGGUGCAUGGCCGUCGUCAGUUCGUACUGUGAAGCAUCCUGUUAAGUCAGGCAACGAGCGAGACCCACGUCCACAGUUGCCAGCAUACCCUCCGGGGUGGAUGGGUACACUGUGGAGACCGCCGCUGCUAAAGCGGAGGAAGGAGUGGGCAACGGUAGGUCAGUAUGCCCCGAAUCUCCCGGGCUACACGCGGGCUACAAUGGUUGGUACAAUGGGCAUCUACCCCGAAAGGGGAAGGAAAUCUCUUAAAGCCAAUCGUAGUUCGGAUUGAGGGCUGCAACUCGCCCUCAUGAAGCUGGAAUCCGUAGUAAUCGCGUUUCAACAGAACGCGGUGAAUACGUCCCUGCUCCUU
rnacentral:rRNA from 1 species